UUCACACCCCAUCAUCAGUCGUCUCUGAGAGACGAACCAGACGACCCCUGAACCCUAAGGCGCCUCCCUCACUCACUUUGCUUGAAAACACGGCGUCGCCGGCUCCGAUGCCCGCCAAAAUAACAGCCCCGAGCCACUCGGCCACCCUGGUUACGAAUCCACUACCCGUUUGGCUCGAAUCAACCCCGAGAUUCUCGAAUAUUCAAUCAAAGAUUUGAGCCAGAUAUGAAUCAACCCCAACCGGCCCCAAAUUGAUACCAAACACUCCCCUGACCUCCCUCAUACUUAAACAGACAAGGGUUUGGUUCAAAUCCACGUAAAACUCGUCGAAUGGUGGAUCUAGGUUUCAGCGGUUCAACUGAUAUGGAGUCGUAUGAGUCAAAGUGUUUUCUAUUUAAUAUUAUAGGAUCAUUUCGGACGAAGUACGCCUAUAAUACUAACUGGAAAACAAUUUCGUAAGAAAAUGCUGUUUGAAGUCCGAAAAAUGUAAAUUGUACUAAUUUCCUUUUCUUUAUCUAUAUGUUUGUUUGUAUGGUUAAUUUUUAUCUUUCUUUAAUUUAUUUCUCAUCAAUAUUGUUCAGUAUCUUUCUCCUUCUUCAUCAGACCUUUUAUUUGGUCUAAAUUUUCUUCUAUCCAUUGUCAAGAACAUGUUAUAAGAUGUACAGUCGAUUUGAAAACUUCAUUAAAAAGUUAGUUUAUAAGGUCUUUGUUUUCUGCCAAUACAACUCGAGUCAUCUUGUUGAUCUAUUUCUAUUAUGCUCAUUAGUUGUUAACUGUCAUAUGUUAUAAUGUUCAUAAUCAAUUGCAUAAGUGUUGUCAAUUAAUUUGGUUAAAAAUUGGAAGCAGGAAUGCAGUCUAUGUAUUAGUAUGUUAUCUGUUUUGCUCGCAUUAUCAAUUCCGUCUGAUUCAUACCAUUUUGAUUGGUUCUGUGCUUAUGUAUUUGAAUUGGUGUGAAUUCGACUAGGAACAGUCAUGGCUGUUCUAGUUGGAUAUUUAGUAAUCGGUUUUGGUUUAGACCUAUAGAUUUUAAUUAACAGGUCGAUGAGUCUUUGUUUAAGGUAGUAAUUUCAAGAGAUUUCAGGGGUGAUUUGGGGAUAAAAUAGCUAGGAUAAUGAUGUAAUGAUAGUGUCUUGUUAGUGGAGUUUUAAUUAUCAAUAAUCUAAUGAGUAGUGGAGAACAAGGAGUAAUUUAAGGGGGACUGUGGGGUUUCUGUUUGACUACAUUUGGGUUAUUUGAAAUUAAGAAUGGUGUAAGAGACAUAUGAGGGAAUAUUUGUUGGGGGCUGAAAUUAAAGAAGGGGUAGGGGUGAUUAGAAAAGGUAAUAAUAAAGGUGUUGUAAUAAUAAUUAAUGGAAAAAGGGAAGAAGGUCUGGUUUUAUAUAAAUGAGAGUCAUUUUGACACUUGGGGGAGUAAGAGUUUAGAGUCAAAAAAAGAGUCUAGAGCAUUCUGACUCUAAAAAUAUUAAGAGCAAUAGAGAUGAAGUUUGAAAACAAUCUUGAGCUGAGAUAAUAGAUAGAACUGAACACAUAGAAAUACUAAAAAAAAAAAACUACAAGUUUCAUUGAUGUUUUUUUGUAGUCUUUGAAGUUUUCUACUGCUUCAAUGGAUUCAUUUUCUCUGAUUUUUCAAGUUUCUAACUUGUUGAAGCAACUCUUGACUCAUCUGGGGUAAAAGUAGACUGAAUUUGGUUAUUGAGGAGAGCUGGUUUAAGUUUGAUUGAUUUGUUUGCUAUUCUAUUGAGUCCUCUAGUAGGAUUUCACUGUUCCAAUCGUUGAAUCUGGGUUGGCUGCUACUGUUUAUUGAUGACUCCUUGCUCCUUUUGGCUUUGUUUGUCUUGCUGUUGUAACCAGGUACAUUCCCUUGAAUUCUGAUAAUUGUAGAUUUCAUAAUGAAGAUGAAAUGAGAAUUGGAAGCAUGACAUCAAAUCUGUGUUGUUCUUCUAAUAUUAUCUUCAUAAUGUUUGUAUGCUUAGCCGUCCAAUUCAAUAUAAUAUAGUUGUUUUUUUGUUGGAUUUUGCUAAGUUAUUAUGUUAUAAUUGAACUAUGGACUGUUGAGAUAAAACUUUACCAAGCAUGAAAAAGUUGCCUUCUUUUCAAUUUUCUGAAAAUUAUGUUUGUUUUAUGUUGCGUCUGGUAUUACUGCUUGGAUUCAAUGGUAUUGAAUUUAGUUUUCAGCACAAAAAUGAAGUGCUUAUGAAUUUGGCAGAGUAUUUUUAAGAUUGGGUAUGCUGUUUAUGACGGAAAGGAUCCCUUCUUCUUUUUCAUUUACUCAUAAAAAAGAAGAAGAAGCAGUUGCUCAUUACAGACAUAGAACAACGAGAAGCGACCAAACUGAAAAGAAUUAGGAAUUAACAAAUAACGGAAUGGACACUGCCUAAUUUCAAAGAACUCACGAACAGAAAAGGGAAACGAAGGAAAACGGAAAUAGGGCACCUUUCAACCGUUGCUUCUCAUGGACCCAAACCUACGAACCUAAUGGAAUUAAAUACUUUGGGUUUAUAUAUUGAUUGAAACAGAUAAAUGAAAAAGGUUAGUUUGUAUUUUUAAAUAAGGAAAAGAAAGUUUGAUUGUGGUGACUUCCAUGUAGGCUUGGAGAAUUUUAAUAAAGAUUCAAACAUCUUGUUAUUAUGAGUUUUGUGAGGAGGCUGUAAAGAAGCUCGGUUAAUUUGAAAAGUGUUUGAAUCUAAGCUUGGUUGAGUUCCGUCCAAUUUUAUGUUUGGUUUCGAUUCGAGGUUCCGGUUUGUAAUUUUGGUGUUUCAGUUCAAGGUUUGUUGCUUUAUUUAGCUCGAUUGAGUUGUAAUUUUCUCUAAAAAGUGUAUAAAUGCGGUUAAAACUUAAAAUUGACACAUAAGUUAUAACAUGUAUAAAAAUCAGAUAUUUAGCCAUUACAACAAUUUAAGCGACUGUGCUAGAACCACGGGAUCCGGGGGUGUCUAACACCUUCCCUCGGAUCAACAGAAUUCCUUACUUAGAAUUUCUUGUUCGCAGACUUUAUUUGGAAAGUCGAAUAUUUUCCUUGAAUUGGGAUUCAAAAUAAACCGGUGACUUGGGACACCAAAAGCUAAACCUUUCCCUAGCGGCGACUCUGAAAUAAAUAAUUGUGGAUAUUGUCACUUAAAUUGGUAAAACUUCCUUACGCAUUACCCCCGAGGUAGGCGCGCCAAACGGAGGUGUGACAAUUGUUUGAAUUUAAGUAGCAAAUAAUUUCAACAAUUAAUGAGUAAACAACUGGAGUAAAAGCAACCAAGGUUGUGUCCCCUUGAAUGUAGUGUAAUGUCAACAUGUGUUAAUAUGACAUAUUUCUAAUGGAAAGUUCUUUAGAUAUGCAAAUGAUAUCUAAAGUACUACCCACUAUUUCCCAAUAAAUGAGUAGUAUUUCUUCUUUAUGAUUUUUCCAAAUAUAAAAGAGUUGCACUUACGAACCAUCAAUAAAUACCAAUUAAAACCCACUUAUUCCUAAGCGAUUUUAUCAAACAAGGUUUAAAGCCUUGAGUCAUUGAUAUUUACUUUUACCAAAUCCUAACCCAUUUUCCCAAGCAAAGCAAGAAUUUAAUGGCUUUUGUUAAUGUUUGCAACCACCAACAAUAAAGAAUGAAUGAGAAGUAAAUAAGUAUUAACCAACCCUUAUAUAUAUAUUCAAUGUUAAACACCCACUAACGUACAACCCAUUUAGGGUCCACAACCUUAGUAUUUAAAACUAACAACACUUGCUAAAAUAUAAAAAUCAACGAAUAUUAAAUGUCAUAAAUUCUUACAAAGAAGAGAUUCUUCACACAGAAGCUUCGAAAAAGAGGGAAUAUUAAUACCUCAGAAUGUAGCUCAAAAGUAAGACAAGAUGAGCCCACAAAGGUCUCUUUGAACUAUUUAUAGAGGGUACAAUUUCGGGACUGAAAAUGGAUAAAUUUGCCCUUUCAGGUCACGUAUGCGAUUGCAGACUUGUCGUAUAACAGGUCUCCGGUCCGCAUUUUGAGGAACCUCUCUGCAGAUCCAAAAUCCUAGUUGUCAGGCCUUCAUCGCAGUUCCAUUCUGCGGUCCGCAUUUGAGUUAUGCGACCGCAGAUUGCAUCGCAUAUUUGACCCUGAGUUUUAUUCUUGUUCAUUAUGCGGCACAUCUGCAAUCCGCAUAUCGAUUCUGCGAUCGUUGAUUGCGCCACAAGCUAGAACCUAAGCAAUUAGUAUUGAAAUGUGCCGAAAUUCUCUAGCACAUCAACACCUCCAACUUAAACUCUUGCUUGUCGUCAAGUAACUAAUACAUUCUUAGCCUAUUCUAAACUCUAUUCUUCAAGCAUGCAUUUACAAUUUCUUCACCCUUCCUAGAUUAGAAGUAUGCACACAGAAAACUAGUCAAUCCUGUGAACUCUGAGCCUCAAUAUUGUGACUAGAUGUUACACUCAGCUGAGUGCACUUUCAUUUGACUCAAAAAACUAAACUUCAAUUCAAUUCCACAAUUCAUAUAUCCUUACCAGAAAUAAUGUCCCAGAAUCACAAUAUUUACAAGGACGGCAAAGAGGGAUCAUUUACAAACACACUCACUCUCAGAAAGAACUUCAAGUGGUGUAACAUGUUAUACCAUAGGCUUGCCCUUAUUUUAAUUCUCCGUUUAUUCAAGAAUGUUCGGUUGGAUGUCUCAUAAGGGCUUAUUGGCUUGUAAUGUAAGUUCAGGGAUGGGUUGGAUAAACAUUUGGGUACAAGUGAUUUCACUCUCUUUGAACACUAAUCAUAUUUUACCAUUACUUUGCACUCCUUUUCAAACUUCUAUAUCUUUGUUUUCGUCUAGCCUCCGGUAUAGAGCUAAUUUACAUAACUUUUCAUUGUUGUUCAAGACUCCCAAUUUUGUAAACAUAAUCAAUAUUAUAUUUUUCUUUCUUUUUAAUUUUCUUCUCUUGCUUUUGGUUAUCAUUUUUUUUGGAGCUUGAACAAUUUCACAAACUCUUUUGAGGCAUGAUGCCCUAAACUCACAUACAACCUUAACGAUCUUCCACUAUGACCUUACCCCCAACUUAAACUUAUAGCCUCGUUCUAAAUAUUCAAAGAGGGACGGGUUCAAGAGAGGGAAUUGUUUUUCAAAACUGGAAAGGUUUGUAAUGAGUUGGCAAAAGAAAGGUUAAAAAGGCUCAAGUUUGGUGCUAGUGGUAUCUUUUAUGUACGGGUAAACUUGGAAGGCUAAAGAAUUUUUUCACAUAAUCACCACGAAUGCCUAAGAUUAUUUCUCAAACCAAACAUACUAUCAUUAGCAUUGAAAGACUAACCGGGUAAGUUUUAGAUGAUAGAAGUAAAGAUGAGAAUUAUAUACAAACAUAGAACUCACACACACAUGGUACAUGAACUGCUUCAUUCAACAUUAUUUGACACUUCCGAGUAACCAUUCUGCAAGUCAAAGCUUUCAUGAUAACGACAAGUAUAAUUCUGGGUUGCCAUAGAGUCAUAAAGCGAGCCUCAGAUUCAAAGAAUUAUCAUAGAGACAAAUUCCCUUAAGACAGUCAUCAAACUAUUCAUCAAUGGAGAAGUCAACAAGAAUGACUAUAGGAGGGUAUAUCUAUAUACAGACACACAUGCUAGAUUCUACGCAAUUACACCAAACAUGUCGCAAUGAUUUACACCUAAGAUCCUGAUUCUACUAUUACACCCUUGGAAAAGAACCAGAAAAAGAAAAACCAAGGGGAAUUAAUUCAUAAAUUGAUAUUUAACAAAUACAAACUUAACAACAAACAUCAAAAACCAAAAUCAUAACAUCACUGAUAUACCAAAGCUAUACCAAUGUAGACAGAUACAUGAUACGCAUAAGUACAUGAGCUUCCAGCUAUAUACACAACAAAAAUCAUACAAUGUUACCUGCCUACCCCCAACUGAAAAUCAUUCAUUGUCCCCAAUACUUAAAAGAAAAGAGUAGAGUUUGAGGGGAAGUUCCUUGAGGUUCACUAAGUGUUAUGGGAGACGGCAACUGGCUGAGUGCCGGAGGGAUCGCCCUCUAAUGUGGGUGUGAGAACUUGCACUGGCUCAGUCGAGAGUGUGAUCUCCUCCGCUGGUGGUUGCUCUGAGGUAGGGGAAGGAACUGGCUGUGGAGGUGGUACUGAUGCUUGAGGGACAAUAUCAUCGGUUGGCACCUGAGAGCUACUGGAUGCACCCGUUGUAGAUGGGAUGCUACAGGAGCUGUAGGACCUCUUCUAUCAAUCAAAGAUCUUUGUAGGGAAAUCUUCAUAAGUGCCCUCUCUACCUCGUCUGCAUCAGCAUCCUCAAUCUCAUCAUCCUGAGUAGAAAUCUCAGCAACCGUCUUCCCUUUAUCAAUAAGCUGAGGGGCUUCGUCAAUGGAGAACCCCACACUAUCUUCUUCCUCAUCCUCUCUAUCACCCUCCAACUUAGCCGAACUACCGAUCUCCCCAUGAGAAGCAAUAUCAAUAGGACUAGCGGGAGCUAUGGUAUGAGAGCCUCCGGGAGUAGGAACCACAGGAUCCAUCAUCAAAUUCGUGAAAUCAAGCCCCAAGUCUGGAGUUGUGCACGUACCUUGAUCACCUUCCAAGGGAAGGAGGGAUGAAAGAUAGAAUUCCAAGUUUUGCAUCUUUUAGAAUUCGACCUUCAUAGAGGCAACCUCCUUCUUGAGGUCGGGAAGGCCACUCACUUUACCUCUUUCAAAUUUCUCCACCCGCAACUCAAUUCCCUUUAGCCGUUCUGCAUACACUGAUUUAUUUUACUGAAUAUUUGUCAUGGCCUCUUGCAUGGGAGAGGGCUUGCUUGAACAAAUUAGGAAGAGUCUUCAGAAGCUGGUCAACUUUAGCAUUUGCAUGUUGGGCCAAUAUACCAAGCUUCGAGACUGCUGGAGGAGCAGUGGGGUUUGAGCAGUGGUAGAUGUAGGGGCAGUCCGAGGAGUGGAGGACUCUGUAGCAUCGGCCUGAGGAGUGAGAGAAGGUUGGUGUUGAUACCCAAUUUUUUCCAUAUAUGUCUAUACUCAAAAUAUAACCAAAAUAUCAUGUAGAUGCAUAUAUAAGCAUUCACAAAGAGUUUGGUAUUUUCCCACAUUUUUAAUGAUUUUAAAAAUCAAAUCCAAUAUUUAUUUCCAAAACUUGUUAUUUUGGUGAAUAAUUUAUUUCACUAUCACAUUUAUAUCAAAAUAUAAUUUUCAUGAUUUUUGCAUUUUUUUACAAGUUCAUUUGGUAUUUUUAAACAAAAAUUGCAUAAAAUUGAAAUUUUAGCCUACUUCUUGAUUUAAUAAGCAUUUUAGCUACAUAAUCAUUUCUAACAUUUUUAAAUUAAUACUUAUGCAUUGUUUAUUAAUUUGGUAUUUUUAAUUUGAUUUUAAACACCAUUUACUAUUUUAUAAUAUUAAAUGGGUAAAAUUAGCUAUUCAAAUUAUACCCUCUUUUUUAUUUCAAUUAUAGCCCAAAUUCACCCCAAAUCCCAGCCCAAUUUAAACCCUCAAAUACACUACGAAAAUUGAUGAAUUACCCGACCUAGACCCAUUUGAACGAACUCGCCCGGACCCUCUUUUAAAUCGUGGUCGUUGAUUGUUUGAAUCAACGGCCCAAAAUCACCCUUUCCUUUUUAAGCCCAAGAUCCCCCUAACCAUAAAUAAUUUACACCAAAUGAGCCGCCCUUGUAUCGCCUUACCCCUAAACGCUCUCUAGCCCUUUUUGAACCCUAGCCUUCCCCGACUCCGUUUAACCGGCGCUUAUGGCUUCCCCAAGCUUUAAAACACCUAUAUCCACAACUCCUCACCUCCUAUGGAUAUUGGGUUCGAAUAUCGGAACCCUAUCUCGAAGGCUGUCAACCUAAAGUUCCUUCGGUGUGAGUUGUGUAGCCGUGUCCGGCCUUUUCUGGCGAGAGUUGAGGCUGUGAGUCCUUCAUCAACUCCGAACCAUUCCACUUCAGGAUUUCUCGCUAUUUAGGCCGGCAGAAAGCCAAGGCUAAAUUAUAAAGUCUCAUCUGCUAUACUUGUUUACUACUCAAGUUUGCAACUGGUAGGCUCUUAAUUUAUAAUAUCAACCUCCAAACUACAUGUUUACUCAAUCAUUUCCCUUGUUUGUUUAUGAUUGCAAUUUAAGUUCAUGCAUGCUCUAACCCCUUUCCCGUUUUUUGCUUGUCUAUUUAUGAUUUCAACUUAAGUUCAGCAUGCUUAAUCCCCUUUCCCAUUUCUCUUGUCUAUAUAUGAUUUCAGUUUAAGCUUCAGCAUGCUUAAUCCCCUUCGCCAUUUCCCUUGUCUGUUUAUGAUUUCAGUUUAAGCUUAUGUAUGCUUAACCCCCUUCCCCAUUUCCCUUGUUUGUUUAUUGUUCAUUAUUAUGGCAUAAGUUCAUGUAAAUCCCUUUCCCUCUAAUCACUUUAGUUAAUUCUAUUUAUUUCAAGUGUUACUAUGUAGGCGAGUUAUGUUUUAGGCUAGGGUGGAAUCUCAUUGCCACUCCUAGUUUAGAAUUAGGUUGUUAUGAGCCAUAUUAUUUGUUUGAGCUUUGACAAAGGCGUGUUGGUGUCCUAAUCACCAUACAGGCCCUAGUAUGACUUGUUUGCAAGUCUACUCUUGCAUGUUGAACCAUGUAAGAGGUUAGGGGUGUGCCAGUCUCACUUCAUGGCUAGGUAUGACCACCUCUAGCAUUGAUUUUCCUAUAAUUCCUCACUUUUACACUUAUUGUAAAUUCUUUAAGUCCUACCCCCCUUUGGCAAGCCAUGCUUAGGGACCCUUGAGUCUCCUCUGAAUUUUGAUGCCUUACGGCUGGUAAUUCCACACUUGCACUACACCAAUUGCUUAGAGUGUAAGCAUUGCAUGGAUUUCCAUGAAAGCUUUUGGAACUUUGAAACUGAAAUCCACAGAUUUGUGAGCCUGGAUUUGGUAAGAAAAUAUGUUGGACAUUAAAGUUCCUUUGUGCUUCUUCGGGCCUGUUUUAGUUAUUUAUGUAUUUAUUUUAUUUCUUUCAAUGUUUUAUUGUCCAGGGUUUAUAAGAAAUUUGUAUAAAAGAACUCGGGGAUAUAGUGAAAAGGGAUAUGGGAGGGGUUUUACUUUAAUGCAUCAGUUAAUGGUAGAAAUUAUGCUUAUGUGGUUUACCUUAUCGCAAUCUCAUAUAGAAAGCAUGCCUAUUGGUUUUCCAUGCUACAUUUCAAUUGAAAUUAUGGAUAUAAGGUUUCAAUAAUACAUCUCAUACAGAUACCAUGUCUAUAUGUUUACAUUAUCGUAAUCUCAUAUAGAUAUCAUGUCUAUAAGGCUUUACAUUACUGCAUCUAUCAAUGAUAGAAGCCAUAUCUAUAGGGCAUACAUUAUCGCAUCUCAUAUAGAAACCAUGCCUAUUGGUUUCAAUGUCAUAUUUCAUGUGGAAACCAUGCCUAUAAACAUUCAUCAUUGCAUCUCGUAUAGAAAGCAUGCGUAUAAGAUCUCAAUGUUGCAUCUCGCCUAGAAAACAUGCCUAUAGAAAUUGCAUAAACGCUAGGCGAACAGUAGGACGUUUAAAUGUAUAAAAAUAGUAAAAAAGGGUUAGUUUGUAUAUUAUGUCCCAAAAUCGCCUAGUAUGUUUAAAACGUGUUGACGCAAUUCGACCCAAGUCUGUCUAUUUUCAAAAUCGGGCCCAGAUCCGGCCUUUUUGCUAUUCUAAACCUAUAAUGCUCUUCUUCAAAUGCCAAACCGACAAUUUUAAAUUGCUUUGUUUUCCUGAGUUUAUACUUUAUGUUAGUUUUGAAAACAUUCUUCGUGCACCCUUUUGUUCAAACAAUGCGGCUAAUCUGCAAGCCCUUUCUGAACAUUUUUGUAACUUCAACUCUCUUUUCAGUAUACCUAUAUCUGAAACUAAUGUUCUCCAAGAUUAACUGAUUUUCAAAAAGCCGUCAAAUUCUAUCCAAAUUUUUUGUGUUAAACUAAUCUGCCCGCUCUCCUAACCUGUUUUUAAGACCAAAUCAGUAUUUGAAGUCUACUAAACUAGUUGUUGUAAAGUUAGGGGGUUUUAUCUGAGCCUUUGACUGUCUUAUGCGCAUACCUCUUAUGUGCUAUUUGUUUUGCUUGUCGUUCUAGUAUUUUCACCUUUGAAAAUUCCAUAUAUAUUCUAUCUCUCUCUCCCAUCUCAUCUGAUUAGAAGCCCUAAUACCCCAGGACUAAAAGGAUGGGAUGGGUAUUUGCAUGCAAUAAGUAAACGAUACCAACACGUUUCAAUAACUUAACAUGGAGGGAAGGGUAGAAUAUGGAGAUGAUGACUGGUGCGCUAAUGCCAUAUGCAACCCCUCUUCGAGGUGUGUGAGCAGGGUAUUGUACCGAGGUUAUCCAUAUUAUUUUCAAACCUAGGACUCCCUUUCCUUUCCUUGCUUUAUUUAAUUAUUUUUCUAAAGUAAUGUUUUUGUUUUCAAAUCCAUUCCCUCUUCUAAUUUAUUUAUAUACGGAUCUUAUUUAUCUACUUACUUCAUCUCUUCAUAAAGUCAUAUUAGCACGGCCAGGAACCACACUAGUGGAUCUUGAGGGGUUCCUAACACCUUCCCCUCGAGAUAAUCUCAAGACCUUACCCGAACUCUGGUUUUCUUUCAAAAUACUCCUCUCAUUCUUAAAAGUGUCAUAAUGCACUAUAAUCAUUAGGUGGUGACUCUUCAAAACCGAAUUCCCAAAAGGGAAUGAGAGUUGUCUUGCCCAGAAUGUCGUAAAAACCCGAUUUUGUCGCUUUUGAAAAAGGGGGCGUUGAAAGCAUGGCGAUUCUGCUGGGGAAAUAUUCUUUAAGGCUUUUACCAUUACGUGUUUUGUGACUUUAUUGCUUUCUUUAUACCUUUAUUUAUUGCUUUAAUCAUUUCUUCAUAAUAACUAACUUGUUUCUUCAUGUCUUCCUUUUUUUUCAACUAUUUUACUGCUUUACUGCCUUUACUUUAUUUCAAUUCCGUCUUAAAUUCCGGGCAUCUAUUGUAAUUAUUAUUGUAUGAACGAGAGAAUACAUGUACUUAUUUAAAUGUUAUAAUUUCAUCCUUCAACAUCAUUUUCCACUUGUGCCAAAAGUAGAAACCUUACUCCGUUUAACUGUUCAUGCAUCACGGUCAAACUUAGCCGAGUUAGUUAUGUUGUCCGCAUAAUGACUCAUUAAGGUAGCCUAAACCAAAAUUCCAUCGGGUUUCCUUAAAACCCAAACGACGCCUUCACAUUAUGUGCAUUAAUUUUGAGAACUAAAUACAAUAUUGCUAAUUACUGAUUUAAAUAGUCGAGUCUAGUGGGGUUAGGGCCUAACACUAUGUUUCAGGAAAUGAGGCAAGAGGUCCUUAGAUUCGGUAUGGUAUCGAACAUUCACCCAAAUUUACUAAGCUGGUGGGAGGAUCUCCAUGAUAGUGAUCGGGUUUUUUGUUCGCAAGCACUUAGGGGAUCUUCCUUCACUCCUGGAAGUUAGGCCAGAUAACAAGAUUGUGGAAGUUGCUACUCUAUUUUGGGAUAGUAAGUGGUCUGUCUAUCGCUUUGGGGGUAUUGAGAUGACGCCGUUGUUUGAAGAAAUUGGGGGUCUAGCCGAAAUUCCUUGGGAUAGCCCAGGGCUGCUUAUGCCAUAAAAUCGCAAAGGUAGAGGGUUCCUGAAAAUGAUAGGGCUCAAAAAGAAUCCUAAUCUGACCAGUCUAAAGGACUCCUACAUAUCCUUUGACUUCAUGUAUGAAAGGUUCGGGCAAAGAAAAUCAUACCAAACUCACAUGGACGAGUUCGCCCUAACCUUUUUAGGGCACAUACAUAGGAGAUCCUUUGUAUUCAUGUUCUGUUUCCUGGGCAUGAUUGUUUUCUGAUGAAGAAGGCUAGAGUCCAUAUAAGAUAAGCCAUGUAACCAAAGCCAUAAUGUAGGGUAUCAAAGGGUAGACAUUCAGCGUAGCGCCCAUAAUCCUCGUCGAACUGUACCCAGCCUUAGAGAAAUGUCAACAAGGGGCACCACACUUUGAAGGGUGCAAUUUGCUACUACAACUCUAGAUCAUUGAACAUCUCCAUAAGGGAGAUUAUAAACAACAUAUCAUACAUCGAGACUGGGAUGACCAUAUCCCUUUCCAUCAUCCAAAGCGAAUGCACUUCAUGCCGGAUAUGUUCGCUCGCCCGGAAGGCGCCACUGGAUGGGUGGAACUAUUGGAGAAUCUCAAAUAAGAGCAUGUACAAUGGAUGUACGAGUGGUUUCCAACUGGAGAGUUCAUCCUUUUAUGUAGGGAUGCGCCAUUCCUUGUACUCAUCGGCUUAAGAGGAACUUACCCUUAUGUCCCUCGCCGAGUCAUGAGGCAAGCGGGAAGAAAGGCGGAUUAUACCAAGGGUUGAAAAAAUUAGUCACCACAGGGCUGACUUCCAAGAUGAUGAUAUCCCGCACAGGUGUGGGGCUCAGCAUAUGUGGUAUUCCAAACUCAUUUUGGGAAAAGAAUCUAUAGAACCAGAUAGGUAUCAGGAAGAGCAUGCACCGUUUUAACCGGGAUGGUUGGAAGGCAAUCAUAUCGACUUGGAAAAAAUAGAUUUUGUCCAUGGUCACAGGGUUAUUGAUGAGAAGACUGUAGCAAAGCUCAAGAACAAUCAGCUAUGCAAACGGAUGCAAGAGUGUGAAAGUGAGCAUCGGGAAAUAUUAGAGGCCCAAGAGGAGAUAAUCAAUGAGUGCAAGGACAUGGCUGUCCGCGCAAACAACCGUUUAGGGUACUUGGAAUGGUGAUUAGUGGAGAUGGAAGGAAGGUUUCUGAAAUGGAUCAACGAGUGUCAGGAAGUUGAAGGUAGCGAAGGUGGGCACUUGGCUCGGGCAUACUUUUUGCUGGGACUGGGCGAGUUGAUGAAACUGUACGAGGGUGGCAAUGAUACCGUAUCUGGGAAAGGUCCUUCUGUGACCAAGUAUUUAGGAUUUUUACUGCUUUCUUGAUAUAAUAAGACCACUGGCCAUUAGUGACUAUUUCUCUUAAGUUCCGUUUGUUUUGACUCGUCCUAUUUUCUAUCGCUAAAAUGAGGCACUUGGUGUUAUAAGUUCUCCAAAUCAUAUCUGUCUCUAGGCCUACCUCGGGCUCGUCCUCCAUUGCAUUAACUUUCUUUGUCCGAUUAUUUGUCAACAUCUUUGUAAGAACACUUACGUUUGUUGCAAGUCCGGCAAUCACUUCAUCCCUCUCCCGAUUUUCCUUGAUCAAAUUGAUCAAAAAAGGAGAGCUGUAUGAAAUUCCUCCGAUGGCAUCUUCACAGUGCCAUGCUUGGUUGUGCUUUUUGUCCAAGAUUUGCUAUACUCGAGCAAAUGAUUUGUUCAUGAAAGAUCCGUCAGCUGCAUUCUUGGCUAUGGCUUGGUUCAUACGGUCCAAACCCAUAUAGAAUUUUUCCAACAACAUAGAAUCCGGGAAUCCAUGGUUUGGAGACUUCAGCAAGUAUAAUUUGAAGCGAUCUCAUGCCUCAUACUACUGCUCCCCCUGCAUGUACUUGAAGAAACAUAUCUUGUCCCGCAAUUCAGUCUUUUUACUUUGCAGGAACCACUUGGACAAAAACGCCCGAACAAGCUCGAGCCAUAUAUGAAAGGAGUUGGGAGGUAGAUUCUGGAGCCAUUUCCUUGCAUCCUCGGCUAGAGAGUACUUGAAGCAUCUUAACCUUAGGGCAUCAUCAGAUAUAUUGUUUUGCUUAUGAAUUGCGCACACACCCAAAAGUUUAUAAGGUAUUGUGUUGGAUCAUCAAUAGUAGAAUAUCUAAGGAACCCUUCUGCCUUAAGCAUCAGGAUCAAACCGUUUUCCACUUUGAAUGUGGCCGCUCCAAUGGCCGUAGGCGCAAUAGCAUUUGUAUCAUCAAUGUAUUCUUUUAUGUCCGCAAAAGGAUUCUCCCCCAAUUCUCCCUCCACGUCAUCUUCAUAUUCUGUGAUGUUUUCCUAUCAACACCAAGCAAGCAAGCAAGGUGUGAUGGAAUAGAAAUAAACUUAAGUAAAGUACAUACUAAAUAGUAAUUUCAAGAACCGUAUUCCCCGGCAACGGUGCAAAAAUUUGAUACGCUUAAAUUACAAUUUAAUAAAUAGUGUAAGGCGGUCGAUGUCAAAUAUAAUAACCCAAUAAGGUUGGGGUAGAAUCCCACAGGGAAUAGGUGUGAAAAGGUUACUUGUUCACUGUGUUGCUCGACUCGAGUUCGAGCUUUAUUCAGUUAAUUGUAACAAAAGAGAAUGGUGUGUGGUGACUAGAGUAUGUAUGACUGUUUGAAUUUAAGUAGAAAAUAAUUUCAACAAUUAAUGAGUAAACAAGUGGAGUAAAAGCAACCAAGGUUGUGUCCUCUUCAAUGAAGUGUAAUGUCAACAGGUGUUAAUAUGAUAUAUUUCUAAUGGAAAGUUCUUUAGAUAUGCAAAUGAUAUCUAAAAAACUACCCUCUAUUUCCCAAUGAAUGAGUAGUAUUUCUUCUCUAUGAUUUUUCCAAAUAUAAAAGAGUUUCACUUACGAACCAUCAAUAAAUGCCAAUUAAAAUCCACUUAUUCCAUAAGCAAUUUUAUAAAACAAGGUUUAAAGCCUUGAGUCAUUGAUAUUUACUUCUACCAAAUCCUAACCCACUUUCUCAAGCAAAGCAAUAAUUUAAUGGCUUUUGUUAAUGUUUCCAACCACCAACAAUAAAUGAAGAAUGCGAAGUAAAUAAAUAUCAGCCAACCAUUAUAUAUAUAUUCAAUGUUAAACACCUAUUAACAUAACACCCAUUUAGAGUCCACAACCUUAGUAUAUAAAGUUAGCUACACAUACUAACACACAAAAACCAACUAAUAUUAAAUGUCAUAAAUGCUUAUAAAGUAAGAGAAUAUUCACCCAAAAGCUUCAAAAAAGAGAGAAUAUUAAUGUCUUGGAAUGUAGCUCAAAAGUAAGACAAGAUGAGCCCACAAAGGCUUCAUAAAACUAUUUAUAGAGGGACCGAAUUCGGGACAGGAAAUGGAUAAAAUUGCCCUUUCAGGUCACGUCUGCGACCGCAUUGUUGUCGCAGAACAAGUAUGCGGUCCGGAUCUUGAGCAGCUUCUCCGCAGAACCAAAAUCCUAGUUCUCAGGUCUUCAUCACAUUUCAAUUAUUCGGUCCGCAUUUGAGUAAUGCGGCCGCAGAUUGCGUCACAUCUUUGACCCUUAGUUUUUUUCUUGUUUAUUCUGCGGUACAUCUGUCGUCCGAACCUUAGUAUUUAAAACUAGCGACACAUGAUAAAAUACAAAAACUAACUAAUAUUAAAUGUCAUAAAUGCUUACAAAGAAGACAAUCGUCACACAAAAGCUUCCAAAAAGAGGGAAUACUAAUGCCUAGGAAUGUAGCUCAAAAGUAAGACAAGAUGAGCCACAAAGGUCUCUUAUAACUACUUAUAGAGGGACCAAUUUUGGGACAGAAAAUGGAUAUGUUUUCCCUUUCAGGUCACGUCUGCAAAUGCAAACUUGUCACAUAACAGGUCUGCGGUCCACAUUUUGAGCAGUCUAUCUGAAAAUCCAAAACCCUAGUUCUCAGGCCUUCAUCGCAGUUCCAUUCUGCGGUCUGCAGAUUGCAUCGCAUCUUUGACCUUGAGUUUUCUUCUUGUUCGUUCUGCGGCACAUCUGCAGUCCGCAUGUUGAUUCUGCAAUCGUAGAUUAUACCUCAUUCUUGAAAUGGUUUUUAGGUCCAGACUCUGUAACGCUCUGCGAUUUGAGGUAUGAUUCUGCGGUCCGCAUGUGUGAUCUGCGACCGCAAAAUAGGCCGCAGAUUUGCACUUGUGCAAUAUCGUGCUCUUUUCUUAUCUUUUUGUUUCCGUUUUCAUAUUUCUGGUCUUCCAUUCCUCUUGUGCUGUAAGAACAACAAAUCCACCUGAGUAUCAGUUAUAAUUGCAUUAAAACAAGCCAGAAUCUAAACAAUAGUAUUGAAAUAUGCCGAAAUUCUCCAGCACAUCAGAAUUCAAGGAGACUUCAUUGAGGCAAAGAUUUUGGACCUAAAACUCGUUCUAAUGGUAUUAUUUCACGGAUUAGGGCUAUAAUUAAUGGAAUUUUAAGGGUUAAAUUUGGGGAAAACUAGUGCUAGUAGACUUAUGCCUUUGGUAGAGGAUUUAAAAAACCAUUUGGGGUUGUAUUUCAGGACUUUUAUAUGUAUAAACUUGUGGGUAGAUUUGAGGAAUCUACUGAAGUGAAUAUUACAAAAGCUCCGAGGCGUGGGCAUGGGGGUCGGGUUUUGGAAAUCUUGGGAUUUAUGCUAUAAAUUUAUUAUUUCGCAUGGGCUUAGUUCCCUUAGCACAUAUUGAUGUCGUGAUUCUGAAUUUUGGAGAGAUUCAACGCGAGUGGAGGCUGAUUAGUUGGGCAUAGGCAUCGCGUGCAAGAUUUUGGACGUGAUUAAGGUGAGUGAUUAUUGUAAAUGUUGUAUGAAACCAUAAAUUGCACAUCGUAUUGCUAUAUUGAGGUGAUACACAUGGUAGAUCACGAGCGUGAGAUCUUGCACUGUUGGGUGAUUGUGACUUAUGUUUGGGGUUGAAUGUCAUAUUUGGGCCUCAUGCCAACUAUUUGGACCAUGAGGUAAUUUUUAUUAAUAUUUCCUCAUUGUCUGACUUUAUACUUGUACCCAGUCAAAUUGUAUAUUAUUAUUUUCUUAACUCAAUCAUGUUUACUAUGUUUUAAUACAUCAAAUGAUAUUUAAUUGUUAAUUGUGUUGAGAAUCAUGUUUUUGUGUUGCUUGAGUGGCUUAUGAGGUUCUCAAUGAUUAAGGCCGAGAGCCUGUGUUGUGAUACUAUAAUUAUGAUUAUGAGGCCGAGGGCCUGAGACUUGUAUGCCAGGAGGUGACGUGUUUAUAUGAGGGUGGGAGCCUAGUGAUGAUGCCUCAAGAUGUUUGUAUAUUGCACAUGGGUCGUAUUGGUCCCCUCUAUGAGUCUGCACAACCCCAGUGAGCGCAGGUACAUAUUAUUAUGUGAGCUAUAGCCCGAGGGGCUGGUAUUGUUUUUGAGAUACUGCCCGAGGGGCGGAUUUAUUGACAUUGUGCUUGAUGGGCGUUCCUUUGUGUGUUUAUCUUUCCUAUUUGACUAUCUUUACUUGCUUAAUUGUUAAAAAUACACUUUUAUGAAAUUCGAACUUAACUUAGUGACUUUACACAUCUUUAUUGCUUCACUAUUAUUACUGGUUUUUACUCCUUCCUUAUUGCCUGUUAUGUGCCUUACAUGAUUUUUUAUUUUUCAGUCUUUAUUUAGAUUAUUACUCAAUGAUUUAG
rnacentral:lncRNA from 1 species